GAUGAACGCUGGCGGCGUGCCUAAUACAUGCAAGUCGAGAGAACGGACGAGAAGCUUGCUUUUCUGAUGUUAGCGGCGGACGGGUGAGUAACACGUGGAUAACCUACCUAUAAGACUGGGAUAACUUCGGGAAACCGGAGCUAAUACCGGAUAAUAUUUUGAACCGCAUGGUUCAAAAGUGAAAGACGGUCUUGCUGUCACUUAUAGAUGGAUCCGCGCUGCAUUAGCUAGUUGGUAAGGUAACGGCUUACCAAGGCAACGAUGCAUAGCCGACCUGAGAGGGUGAUCGGCCACACUGGAACUGAGACACGGUCCAGACUCCUACGGGAGGCAGCAGUAGGGAAUCUUCCGCAAUGGGCGAAAGCCUGACGGCGCAACGCCGCGUGAGUGAUGAAGGUCUUCGGAUCGUAAAACUCUGUUAUUAGGGAAGAACAUAUGUGUAAGUAACUGUGCACAUCUUGACGGUACCUAAUCAGAAAGCCACGGCUAACUACGUG
rnacentral:rRNA from 1 species